CGGGGCGUAGCGCAGUUUGGUUUAGCGCGCAGCGUUCGGGACGCUGAGGUCGGUGGUUCAAAUCCACUCGCCCCGACCA
rnacentral:tRNA from 2 species